rnacentral:lncRNA from 1 species
GCAGACGGGCCGAACUGGCCAUGCCGUAAUGUAAGCGAGAGCGGCUGGGAAACCCGACACAAACAUUUGAAACCGUAGCACACGUGUAUUGAGACGGUGAUAGCCGGUACCCAAAUUACCAUUGUAAUAAUACAUUUCCCACUUGUUAUACAAUCGUUUGUGUCUAUGUAUGCCCGUCUGAAGAUAAGUCCCAUUAAAAUUUGAAUUUUAUAUUAUUUUUU